CGCACGAUCGACUCGACAACGGCGGCGUCCUCGUCGAGACUCGGCACGUCCUCGACAGAGUCGCUCGAUCGCGCGCGACGCUGUCGUGCCGCCUGGCGGUCCCAAAGCCACUGCAUCACACAGGGCCGAUUGGCGGCGGCAGCGGCGACGAAUGCCGCGUUGGCGUCAAAUGGGAGAUUGCGGGCGUCGCAGAGGGCCAGUGCGCCGACAUUACCCGCGGCGGCGGCCUCGUCGAUCCAUGCCGGUUCGUCGCCGUGUGUCUGGCGGAGCGGGAGGCGCGAGCGGCGAUGACGCGACGGUAUGUAGGGCAGGCCCAGAUCGAGCAGUUUGGCCAAACACGCGGUAUCGCGGGCCUUGAUGACGUCGCUCCAGUAGUAGCAAGGCAUCUCGCUGCCCACGGCGAUCAAAUCGCCGAGCAGUUGGGCGUGGCCGCCGUCGAUGACCGGACUCAGGUAAGCGCUCGAUUCUUCAUAGCCAAAGCGAUUGCAGAGCAUCCGGUGCGCGUCGCCGAGGCCGCGCGCGAGGGCCAGAUGACGGAGCACUUCGACCAAUCCCUCGAUGUCGCCGCCUCUGUCAAUGUCCCAGUCGUCAUACUCGCCCACCUGGCGCGCGCUCGCUGGCCCGGAUGCGCGGAAUCCGUCAUUGUCCUCCUCGUCAUCGUCGUGGUCAUGAAGGGCGGGUGGGUCAUCGGCAUCGGCGGGUUGCAAAGCGACCGGUGCACGUGACGAAACAUAGGCCAGGCGAGGCCAAUGAUGGUCGAAAACCUGUUCCAUGGCCCACGGAGCGCCGCACGCCAACAGCGCAGCGACGACGUGCUUGCGGCUGGCACGGGCGUUGCUGCGGCACCACGUAUAGAGGCUGUCGGGGUCGCCGGUCCACGGGGCGGGAUCAUCACGAAUCCAAUCGGCCACGGCGGUCAUGCACACGACGCGGCCGCUGGGCCACUUGGGACAACCGACGGGCGUAUAUUGAUGCACCUGAUUCCAGCGCUUGUGCGGGUGCGCGCCCAUAGCCGCGACGUCCUCGGCCGACGGAUGCUCGAUGACGUCGCGCCAGAGGCGGCAUACGGCGCGUGCGACAAAGCGCCAACGCGGGUCGAGCAGGGGACGCGCGCGACGCUUCCAGCCGCGCCGCGUCGACUCGUGCCCGUUGAGGAUGCGCACAAGGAUUUCGGCAGGUAGCGCGCCGAGCAUGCCAUUGUCCGCGACGCCGUCGCUCUCGUCGUCGAGUCUGGGUGUGUCCAGCGCCGCGGCGGCGCUGUUUGUCGCGGUUGUGCGCAUCGUCGGUCGCUAUCUGGUCGCGGUGAGUUUUUGUUUGCCGUUUUUUUGUCACCGCCCCGUGUUUCCCUUUUCUUCCUUUUUUCCCGUUUGUAUGCAUCGCGCGGGCAAAAAAAGGACGAGAAGAAAAAAUGCACAUUGGCCCAACGGCCACACGGUC
rnacentral:lncRNA from 1 species